rnacentral:rRNA from 1 species
AUAGAACGCUGGCGGCAUGCCUUACACAUGCAAGUCGAACGGCAACAGGUCUUCGGAUGCUGACGAGUGGCGAACGGGGGAGUAAUACAUCGGAACGUGCCAGAUCGUGGGGGAUAACGAGGCGAAAGCUUUGCUAACACCGCAUAAGAUCUACGGAUGAAAGCAGGGGACCACAAGGCCUUGAGCGAACGGAGCGGCCGAUGGUAGAUUAGGUAGUUGGUGGGAUAAAAGCUGACCAAGCCGACGAUCUGUAGCUGGUCUGAGAGGACGACCAGCCACACUGGAACUGAGACACGGCCCAGACUCCUACGGGAGGCAGCAGUGGGGAAUUUUGGACAAUGGGCGAAAGCCUGAUCCAGCCAUGCCGCGUGCAUGAUGAAGGUCUUCGGGUUGUAAACUGCUUUUGUACGGAACGAAAAGACUCUUUCUAAUAAAGAGGUUCCAUGACGUUACCGUAAGAAUAAGCACCGGCUAACUACGUGCCAGCAGCCGCCGUAAAAC